GGCCCCGUCGUCUAGCGGCCUAGGACGCCUGGCUUUCAUCCAGGAAAUCGAGGGUUCGAUUCCCUCCGGGGUCACAA
rnacentral:tRNA from 5 species